rnacentral:rRNA from 1 species
AACUUGCCUCACAGACAGGGACAACAUUUGGAAACGGAUGCUAAUACCUGAUAUUAUGAACUGUGCGCAUGCAUAGAUUAUGAAAGCUAAAUGCACUGUGAGAGAGCUUUGCGUCCCAUUAGCUAGUUGGAGAGGUAACGGCUCACCAAGGCGAUGAUGGGUAGCCGGCCUGAGAGGGUGAACGGCCACAAGGGGACUGACACACGGCCCUUACUCCUACGGGAGGCAGCAGUGGGGAAUAUUGGACAAUGGACCGAGAAUCUGAUCCAGCAAUUCUGUGUGCACGAUGAAGUUUUUCGGAAUGUAAAGUGCUUUCAGUUGGGAAGAAGAAAGUGACGGUACCAACAGAAGAAGCGACGGCUAAAUACGUGCCGGCAGCCGCGGUAAUACGUAUGUCGCAAGCGUUAUCCAGAUUUAUUGGGCGUAAAGCGCGUCUAGGCGGUUUAUUAAGUCUGAUGUGAAAAUGCGGGGCUCAACUCCGUAUUGC